rnacentral:rRNA from 1 species
AUUGAACGCUGGCGGCAGGCCUAACACAUGCAAGUCGAGCGGGGUUUUCGGACCUAGCGGCGGACGGGUGAGUAAUGCGUAGGAAGCUACCCGAUAGAGGGGGAUACCAGUUGGAAACGACUGCUAAUACCGCAUAAUGUCUACGGACCAAAGUGUGGGACCUUCGGGCCACAUGCUAUCGGAUGCGCCUACGUGGGAUUAGCUAGUUGGUGAGGUAAUGGCUCACCAAGGCGACGAUCCCUAGCUGGUUUGAGAGGAUGAUCAGCCACACUGGAACUGAGACACGGCCCAGACUCCUACGGGAGGCAGCAGUGGGGAAUAUUGGACAAUGGGCGCAAGCCUGAUCCAGCCAUGCCGCGUGUGUGAAGAAGGCCUUCGGGUUGUAAAGCACUUUCAGUAGGGAGGAAGCGUUGUGUGUUAAUAGUACACAGCGUUGACGUUACCUACAGAAGAAGCACCGGCUAACUCUGUGCCAGCAGCCGCCGCCGUAA